rnacentral:rRNA from 1 species
CCUACGGGUGGCUGCAGUGGGGAAUAUUGCACAAUGGGCGCAAGCCUGAUGCAGCCAUGCCGCGUGUGUGCAGAAGGCCUUCGGGUUGUAAAGCACUUUCAGCGGGGAGGAAGGCGUUAAGGUCAAUAACCUUGUCGAUUGACGUUACCCGCAGAAGAAGCACCGGCUAACUCCGUGCCAGCAGCCGCGGUAAUACGGAGGGUGCAAGCGUUAAUCGGAAUUACUGGGCGUAAAGCGCACGCAGGCGGUCUGUCAAGUCGGAUGUGAAAUCCCCGGGCUCAACCUGGGAACUGCAUUCGAAACUGGCAGGCUAGAGUCUUGUAGAGGGGGGUAGAAUUCCAGGUGUAGCGGUGAAAUGCGUAGAGAUCUGGAGGAAUACCGGUGGCGAAGGCGGCCCCCUGGACAAAGACUGACGCUCAGGUGCGAAAGCGUGGGGAGCAAACAGGAUUAGAUACCCUAGUAGUC